GGGGAUAUAGUUCAGUGGUAAAGUGUCUGCCUAGCAUGCAGGAGACCCUAGGUUCUAUUCCAAGUACCA
rnacentral:tRNA from 1 species